ACCAGCAUGGUGCAGUGGUUUCAGCAUUGGACUACGAUUCUGGAGACCAGGGUUCGAAUCCCUGCUCAGCCA